UCCAAGGCCCAUUUCAUCAGCAAGAAUGCCAUUCAAAUGAUUGUUGUAUAAUGAAACCAACCAUCUUAAUCCAUUCAUCUGGUACUCCCUUAAUUUUCCACCCCGAAGACAAGCCGGCUGCUCUGCAAUGCUCUCUUUUAUGCUAUGAGCCAUCAUAUAGUACUUCUCAUUGCUUUCCAUGUAAUGCUUUGCUUGGUCACUUUCAUCUUCAUUCUCAAAAACAGUUUCAUUCUUCUCAAAAACAGUAGCAGUUUGUGUUUCAUCCAUAUCAUUUUCAAAGUGCCUUGCCAUAGGCUUUGCUUGUUGUAACUUGGAUCCCAGCUUUUGAAGAUAUUUCUCAGUCUCCUUCAGCAGUUGCUUCACACGAUCCGAUUUUGCAUCCUGCACCAUUCGCAGAUACCCCUCUACAUCAUUAAUCUUUAAUAAAUUAAUCUUCUCACGCUGAAUUCUGUCAAUCUUCUCCCGAUGGAUACGCUCCUUCCUUUUAUGGAACUCCUUCACAUACUUAUUGAAACCCUUCCAGCGUUCUCUCUUAAUCUUAAAUACAUCAUCCAGUCUUUCCUUGUGAACUUCUAUCUCAGCAAAGAACUCUUUCUGCCUCUCACGAAUCCUCUUUUGUCGUUCUUCCUUCAUUUUCAGCUCAAAUUUUUCAAGUUGUUUUAUCCUUCUACCAUGUUUAUGUUUCUUAUAUGAUUUCAAACGAUCCAUGUCAGCAGUGAUUGGCUUAAAAAAAUCACUCAGAAAAUCACUCCUUAAACGGCGUUGGAGCCCCAAUAACUGAAGCUUUUUCAAUUCUAUAACACUUUUAGUUUUUGCAGAUAUGUCUUCAGAUGAAUUCACUGUUUCCUUUAAUUUGUCAAAACAAGUGACCAUUCUUUGUUUUGUCUUUUGCUGUUUUAGAGCCCAAUUUCGCUCAGCUAAAAGUCUCUUCUUCUGAUAAUCCAUGAUCCACUUCUCGGACAUGGUACACUUUGGAGAAGGUGGAGAAUCUGUAGAAGCUGACUUGUCUUCAUCAUCUUGUUCUGAAACACUGCUGUUCCCAAGACUUUGAAAAUGACUAGGACCAUUAUCUUUUCUGUCAGGCAUCAAUUCAUGCUGAACAGCAAUGGAUGGUAAGGAUCCCCGAGAAACUUCAUUAUGACUGCCUAUUCCAGUCCAGCUGACUGCCUCAGGGUUCACUUGUUUAUUUAUGCUCAUUAGAGAUGAAGCUAGGUCAGUCCUUCCUACAUGCAGAUGGCCAUUCUCUGUGCUAUCCACAGGGUUACGAGAGGCUAAAGAAGCCCUCGCUGAAUCAGGCGGCUGCAUCACAUUCACAGUGUUGAACAAUGCCUGUGAUUCCACCUUUUCCAGGCUCUGCACUUCAGCCUCCAGUUUUCUAGUAGCAAAAGGAUGUUUCCUUUCUUCUGCAAGUACUGUGAGGUCUGAAGGUGGACCGCUUUUGUCUUCCAUCAUUUUCACUUUAUCAGCUUCUUUAGACAAGAAGUUGCCAUCCAAGAAUCUACCAGUGGAAGAGGCACCUGGAGGAAUUCCCUCACUUUCCUUCACGUUAUUCAACCUACCAAAUUGCAUUGAAGCUUCAGGGAUGCUACUUGGCUCAUGAGAAGAUUGUACCUUUCCUUUAUGAUCAACCAGCUCUUUGCGAGGACCAUCUGAAUUACCACCAUCUUUAGGAAAGAUAUUUCCAAGUGCUAGCUCCAGAUGCAGUUUCUUUGGCACCAAACCAUUUCUGAAUGCUAAAAAGACGAGGCAUUGAGCCCUAAGCUGUUUUAAUUGUUGAUCCUUGAAAGGAUUGCUAGACUGAGGAGCAGGAGAUUUUCCCACAUCUCUGGGAACUGUUGGUCUAAUCAUUGUCAUUUCAGAAUUACUGUUUUGCCGGCCACCCUGAAUAAUCAUCUUUACAUCUCCAAACAUAUUUGAACUUCCUCCUUCAUUUUCCAAAACCCUUACAGUGGAAAGUGAUGCUGGCAAGUCAUCCACACCUUUAGCUAAUCCAUGCUUCUGAAGUUCAGAACCACUGAAAUGGGCUUGACCUGAAAAUCCUAGCUCCCCCAUUGGGUAUGAACUAGAAGUGACAUGCACACCUCCAUGAACCUUGCUAAUAUGACCAGCUCCAAUAGAUGAAGUCAUUGACUGCUGCACUGGAAUCUCCGCUGUCAUAUUACCAGGCACAGAAUUAGAAGAAAACCUGGGAACUUGAGAUCUUUCAAGGGGUAACCCUGUUUUAUUUUGAUUCCAUGCACUCCUGGAAGAAAGAGUUUCAUGAGGAGAAGGUAGGGAACCACCUUGUUGUUGCCCUGCUGACACAUGAGAAGAAGAAAGUUCCAGCUGGCCACCACUGGGAACCAUAGAAUUGUUAUUUUCACUACCCCUCGCUGGAAAACCUCCUGGUGAAUCAAUCUUAUUUGUUUUGGCCUUCCUCUGAUUAACAACAGCAUUACGAGCAUCAAGCUGUUGUGGGCUGUCAAUAUGCGGUUCUGAGGGAAAGGACGAAUCACCCCUUUUCCUCUUAGCAGCAGCCUUUUUUCCAUCCUUUUGAUUCACCCCUCUUUCUUGGGAUUGAGAGUUGGCAGACCUAGUGUCCAAACUAGAAGGGCUUUCAUGAUCAAAAGACUGACUGUUCUUGUGAGUUCCAGAUCCUUGAUAAUAAUCAUGUCCAGCACCACUCGGGCCAACAGGUGGCCUGCUAGAAACAAAUGGGUCAAUUUUGGAUAUUUCAUUUUCAGCCAAACCCACUUUAGAAUCUUUUGUAACUCCAACUGCCUGUGAAGAUCCCGCAGAAUCCCCCAUUUGAGAUCCACCUGUCAAAGGAAGGCGUGAUGACAUCAAUGCCUCAAUAUCAAGACCAUGUUGGUUGAUAACAGUCUCCAUGGCCCUUGAUAUUACUUGAUAUGGCAUUGAAUGCUCCUUCCCACUUGCUUUCAUGUGUUGUAAUAUCACAUAGAGUUUUGUAGCCAAUUUUGCUGGCUCGUCUUUAGAAUCCUGAAUGAGUUUCUGCAGAAACUUUGCAGCCUCAAACUCAACGUUAUGUGAGGGUUGUGAAGACGCCAUCUCAUCUCACCUGAUCGGAGAUCGACCGGGAAAUUGCAGGAAAUGCUGGUUUCAGUAACUGGGCUUACAUAGACAGAGAACUGCGUCCGCAGACGUAAACCCUCGAGAGGAAAAUGAGUUCCUU
rnacentral:misc_RNA from 1 species